GAUAAAAUCAACAAUAACAAUAUUAUAUAUCAUCCAAAAAAUUCAUACAUUAUUAUACAAAUGAACCAAAUAUCAAGUAUACAUCAUCGUUGCAUAUUCCGAUUCAAAAUUGAAAAUACCAACUACCUUAUAGCUAAAACAAAAAUCUAUCAUACAAUGUUUCUAGCACCAAGUCCUCAAGAACUAGUUAAUCAACCUGCUAUGAUUCUCUGGUUGUCUUUUGACCUCAAGCCAUCCCAAGCUACCAUAAAUUUAUUACGCAUUCUU
rnacentral:lncRNA from 1 species